AGCGAACGCUGGCGGCAGGCCUAACACAUGCAAGUCGAACGAACCUUUCGGGGUUAGUGGCGGACGGGUGAGUAACACGUGGGAACGUGCCUUUAGGUUCGGAAUAACUCAGGGAAAUUUGUGCUAAUACCGAAUGGGCCCUCCGGGGGAAAGAUUUAUCGCCUUUAGAGCGGCCCGCGUCUGAUUAGCUAGUUGGUUGAGGUAAUGGCUCACCAAGGCGACGAUCAGUAGCUGGUCUGAGAGGAUGAUCAGCCACAUUGGGACUGAGACACGGCCCAAACUCCUACGGGAGGCAGCAGUGGGGAAUCUUGCGCAAUGGGCGAAAGCCUGACGCAGCCAUGCCGCGUGAAUGAUGAAGGUCUUAGGAUUGUAAAAUUCUUUCACCGGGGACGAUAAUGACGGUACCCGGAGAAGAAGCCCCGGCUAACUUCGUG
rnacentral:rRNA from 1 species